UGGACAUAUUGUGAUGGAGCCUUUGUUUUUCUCUGUGUUGUAUUUAGAGUGUUUCCUGUUGGUCCUUUGCUUGAGGUGGAAAGACUUGAAGCCAGUGAAGUGGUCUGGAUCCACGCCCUGGUCCAGUUCCAGAGGAAAGCAGAUGAGCCCAAGGAACUCUGGACCCCCAUAGAUG